GAACGCGAAGAACCUUACCUGGUCUUGACAUGUACGGAAUCCUCCAGAGACGGAGGAGUGCCUUCGGGAGCCGUAACACAGGUGCUGCAUGGCUGUCGUCAGCUCGUGUCGUGAGAUGUUGGGUUAAGUCCCGCAACGAGCGCAACCCUUGUCAUUAGUUGCCAUCAUUUAGUUGGGCACUCUAAUGAGACUGCCGGUGACAAGCCGGAGGAAGGUGGGGAUGACGUCAAGUCCUCAUGGCCCUUAUGACCAGGGCUUCACACGUCAUACAAUGGUCGGUACAGAGGGUAGCCAAGCCGCGAGGUGGAGCCAAUCUCACAAAACCGAUCGUAGUCCGGAUUGCACUCUGCAACUCGAGUGCAUGAAGUCGGAAUCGCUAGUAAUCGCAGGUCAGCAUACUGCGGUGAAUACGUUCCCGGGUCUUGUACACACC
rnacentral:rRNA from 1 species